rnacentral:rRNA from 1 species
AUACAGAGGGUGCAAGCGUUAAUCGGAAUUACUGGGCGUAAAGCGUGUGCAGGUGGUUGAAUAAGUUAGAUGUGAAAUCCCCGGGCUUAACCUGGGCACUGCGUUUAAGACUGUUUAGCUAGAGUACUGUAGAGGGCAGUGGAAUUUCCAGUGUAGCGGUGAAAUGCGUAGAUAUUGGAAGGAACACCAGUGGCGAAGGCGACUGCCUGGAUAGAUACUGACACUGAGACACGAAAGCGUGGGGAGC